GAUGAACGCUAGCUACAGGCUUAACACAUGCAAGUCGAGGGGCAGCACAGUGUAGCAAUACAGUGGGUGGCGACCGGCGCACGGGUGCGUAACGCGUAUCCAACCUUCCCGUUACUCAGGGAUAGCCUUCCGAAAGGGAGAUUAAUACCUGAUGGUGUUGAAAUUUCGCAUGUUAUUUCAACUAAAGAUUUAUCGGUAACGGAUGGGGAUGCGUGACAUUAGGUAGAUGGCGGGGUAACGGCCCACCAUGCCUACGAUGUCUAGGGGUUCUGAGAGGAAGGUCCCCCACACUGGAACUGAGACACGGUCCAGACUCCUACGGGAGGCAGCAGUGAGGAAUAUUGGUCAAUGGGCGCAAGCCUGAACCAGCCAAGUAGCGUGAAGGAUGACUGCCCUAUGGGUUGUAAACUUCUUUUAUACGGGAACAAAUGUGGGUACGUGUACCUAUUUGCGUGUACCGUAUGAAUAAGCAUCGGCUAACUCCGUG
rnacentral:rRNA from 1 species